UAUGAUACUACCCGUUACAACCAGCCUAAAGACGUCGGGCUGUAGAUUGAGAGAGUAGUCAAGCGCGACGACUCGGGAGUACGAGCUUGAUGGCGGCUGGGCAUCGUCAGUUUUGGGAGUUGCAGAGGAUGAGGGGGAGACUGCGGCGCGGCAGGGUGCUGGGGGCUCGGCAUCCGACCUCCGGUCCAAGCUGUCGACGGAGGCUGUCGCGCCACGAGCACGCUGAGAUCCUGAGUCGGCUGGACGAUGGCUACCACAACGAUGCACGAGGAGGCGAGCCCAAGGCGGCUGAAUGACAGCCAUCUGUCGUCCUCGACCACGGUUGGUUCCCUCGGAUGGUGGGCGGCGGCGGACCCGUCUUUAUCCUCCACAUCUCCUCACACAGGUGAGCAUGGCGCCUCUUGCUGCUAAUUCCAAAUAGAGCAUGUGCCUGUGACGGAUGUGCUCAUGCCCCGCGGAACGCUCAACUCGCCCGCGACCGCGGACAAGGGAUACGUAUACGGAAAUUGUGAUUUGAAAGGACUGUCAAUCAACAUGAAUCAUGGCAAAGUUUUCUACAUUUUUCGGAGCGGGUCCAUUGAUGAGAGUUGAGAGAUAAUCUCCUGCUGCCAAUUUGAUGCAGUACUGUUUUAAAGACGACGAUGAUGCAUGAUGUCGACAAAUUACAUCAUCAAGUAUUGCUAAUGAUGUUACUGUAUUCUGAACCAGAUAUGCAAACAGUACAUGUAAUCAUGUUACUCAUUUGCUGUGCGCGUCAAUCGGCAAUGUACUUCUUUCAGCAAGUACCUUCAAGGGUCAGCUACUGCCAUGGUAUGCUUUGCUUUUUGAAAUCAUCACAUGGAUUACAUGCAGAACUCAAUUUCCCACGAACUGAUGCUACAAAUGCAGGAAAUCUAUCACCAUGGUUUUAAACUAGAAAUCGCCCUCCUA